AACGAACGCUGGCGGCAGGCUUAACACAUGCAAGUCGAACGCCCCGCAAGGGGAGUGGCAGACGGGUGAGUAACGCGUGGGAACAUACCCUUUUCUACGGAAUAGCUCUGGGAAACUGGAAUUAAUACCGUAUACGCCCUACGGGGGAAAGAUUUACCGGGGAAGGAUUGGCCCGCGUUGGAUUAGCUAGUUGGUGGGGUAAAGGCCUACCAAGGCGACGAUCCAUAGCUGGUCUGAGAGGAUGAUCAGCCACAUUGGGACUGAGACACGGCCCAAACUCCUACGGGAGGCAGCAGUGGGGAAUAUUGGACAAUGGGCGCAAGCCUGAUCCAGCCAUGCCGCGUGAGUGAUGAAGGCCUUAGGGUUGUAAAGCUCUUUCACCGAUGAAGAUAAUGACGGUAGUCGGAGAAGAAGCCCCGGCUAACUUCGUG
rnacentral:rRNA from 1 species